CCUACGGGAGGCAGCAGUGAGGAAUAUUGGUCAAUGGGCGAGAGCCUGAACCAGCCAAGUCGCGUGAAGGAUGACGGCCCUACGGGUUGUAAACUUCUUUUGUCAGGGAGCAAUUUAGUCCACGUGUGGGCUUAGCGAGAGUACCUGCAGAAAAAGAAUCGGCUAACUCCGUGCCAGCAGCCGCGGUAAUACGGAGGAUGCGGGUGUUAUCCGGCUUUAUUGGGUUAAAGGGGUGCGUAGGCGGAAUAUCAAGUCAGCGGUAAAAAUUGGGGGCUAAACCCCGUCGUGCCGUUGAAACGGAUGGUCUGGAGUGGGUGAGAAGUAGGCGGAAUGCGUGGUGUAGCGGUGAAAUGCAUAGAUAUCACGCAGAACUCCGAUUGCGAAGGCAGCAUACCGGCGCCCAACUGACGCUGAAGCACGAAAGCGUGGGUAUCGAAAAGGAUUAGAUACCCUUGUAGUC
rnacentral:rRNA from 1 species